rnacentral:rRNA from 1 species
CGGAAGGGCACCACCAGGUGUGGAACCUGCGGCUUAAUUCGACUCAACACGGGGAAAAACUUACCAGGUCCGGACACAGGAAGGAUUGACAGAUUGAUAGCUCUUUCUUAAUUUCUGUGGGUGGUGGUGCAUGGCCGUUCUUAGUUCGUGGAACUGAUCUGUCAGCUUAAUUGCGUUAACGAACGAGACCUUUAAUUAUUAAUUAGUUAAAUAUAUAGUAAAAUAUAUAAUUUAGAAAGAAAAAAAAUACUUUUCUUUUCAUUGACUUCUUAAAAUAACAAUUGGUGAUUAACCAAAGUAAGUUAAAAGGCAAUAACAGGUCUGUGAUGCCCUUUAGAUGUUCUGGGCUGCACGCGCGUUACACUGAAAAUAUCAAUAAGUUUUUAUAUAAACAAAUGAUAUCUUUUUUUGAUUUGAUUUGUUUAUGUCCUUGAUUGAAAAAUUUGGGUAAACUUGAUAACUAUUUUCGUGAUGGGG